GCUCUGUGCUCCCCCCGAACGGCCCGGGAAGCCGAUGCAGCGUUGGUGCGAUGCUUCCAAAAGGACAAAAAGCAAAUGUCGCGAGUGCGCGCUCUGCUUCACAGAUGCAGGGCACCUAUGCGCGCAUGAAAGUCAGCGCUCCGCUUCGGAUGCACGUUUCCAGUGCUGGGGAAACCUUCUCGUGCUUUUGUUUUCUAGAAGUAGAAAUGUUUGAGCUUAAACCGGCACGUCAGAAGACUCUUGAAGGAAACAGGUCUGCCUCCCCAAAAGACGCUUAGCACAAAAUUUGUAGACCCUGUGCUCGCUGUAGAAGACAUUGACCCUUACAAAUCCCAUCGAGCUCCUUAGAAAGGCGGCAAAACUUUUAGGACCGCGGUGCUUCUGAGGCUGCUACAGUCCUGCUCCUUGCUUGGCACAGCAGAGAAGGAACAUCAAUGACAAAUCUGAUCUUUUUUGAAGAUUGAAUUUACUGAAGAAGCUUCCUCUGGAGUUCCACAGAUGAUUAGUGUGAGCUACCCAUCACAUCGGAUAUGUAGGAAUGUCAAUUAGGACACCCUGUGUUCAAGCACAGAAAGAGAUCUUGUAUGCAAUGGGAGGAUGGAAACAGGCCUUCAACGUGGGCCUUCAUGCUGUUGCAAAAGCCAUCGAUGUAGAUGAGAGGAGCGAUUCGUUUGCUCAUGAGCUGAAAGUUCCUUGUACCAAAGUGUGCUCCACCUCAAGAAGUUUGCCAGGAGCAACUGAAAUGUUUUACACAUUCCACCUAAUAUGCCCCAGAGAGGGGGCUGCAUGGGCACACUGUCUCGGGGUACUGCGAAGGAAAGACAUUUUCUGUUCCGGAGACAUGGGGAUGCCAUGCUGAUUGUACCUGGAUGAUCAUACGAACAGAGAAAAAGUCCCCUAAUCCCCUGGAAGAAGGCAAUGAACAGAACUUUGAAACUUGAAUGCAUGCUUUUUCUUCUCUGCUAAGUAUGUAUACUAGCAGUUUCCAAUUCUUAUCCAGCUGAAGUCUAUGCAACAAAGGACAAAAGAACACAGAAAAGAAGAAAAAAGUCUUUGUGUUAUGCAGAGCACCAAGUCUAAUCCUUGGCACGAGCCAGAGCAGAAAUUGUUCCAAUUUAUGCUGGUUGUCUUCUAUUCAUAGGUGCAUUGGGCAAUGAAGGAAUAUCUGAUGGAAAUUACUUUGGACGUCUCCCACUUAUGAACCGGAAUUCGGUAUAGGACCUGUUAUGGUUUGUUUCUCCAGAGGAAUCCUUCACUGGUAGUUUUAGGGCUGGUUUAUAAGUGAAUGAGAGUGAAGCAGAUUUCAAAUAUUGAGCAAUAGAUCCUCUUCUUCCCCCAAACCUGGUCCCCUUCAAUAUUCUUUAAUCAAGUCUGAUGUUUUUGCAAUUUUGAUUGUAGAAUUUUAACUCUGAGUAGACAAGUUACAUGUACAGUCACUCCUAAACAGUAUCAGUAUCAAUGCUGGUAGCUGACGUCACUACACUAAAAUGCUUUCCUAUCUGCAAAAAAAUUGUUCUUGCCCACAUUUCCUGAGGAACUGAAGGACUUGACUUAAAAGAGUGAAAUUUCUUCAUACCAUUGCAGGUAUUGUAUUACCAUAAUAGAUACGAUUUAAGAUGCAUCUUUUUUACACCUUAAUGUGGAUUUCUACCAUUUCAAACCUAAUUUUUCUUGACGUCAUUGGACUUCUAUCCAUUGACAAAUGGGUAGGAUUGUUUCUAUUAGCAAACUGGAAGAUCAGGCUAAUAUAUGCCUUUUAGACUUUAAAUAGAAACUUUAAUUUACUGUAUGCUUGCAUUCUGAAUACCUAGCUAUUUUUUAUGGAGCUUGUACUUGCAUCAAAAAAGCUAGAUCCUGAGAUAUAAAACAACACAAAAAGAGAAUAUUUGAGUAGGUAACACAUGCCCCCCCCCCCCCCCCCCCCCGCCCCGGAUUAUGUUGCAGGAGAAAACUAAGUUAAGACAGUUAGACAUUAAAAUUUCUGUAUUGCUUAAAAUAGCCAUUUAAAGUGCUUGGGGUAUUAAAUGCUCCUCCUAAGGUAUGGGAAGUGAGCAAAAUGUUGCAAUUAUUCCUGGAUUGCUAUUCUUUCCUUGCCAAGCAAGGAGAAAAUGAAUUUCAUCUGCUCUACCUGGGUCUACGUUUGUGCUUGAUUAUUAAACCUAUAAAUGGAACUGCAGUACUUUGAAACCAUUAAGAAGUAUUUAAAUGGAUCAGGAGAAAUAAUAACCUCACUCAAUCAGUCUAAUUUCAGUUGAUUCACUCAUCGCUAAAAUCUAUAUAAUGUAACAUCUUGUUGACCAUAGUCUAUUUUUAACACAAUUUUGAAGUUUUUUCUACUCCCUGUGGACACAAAAAUGUCAGCAGAGAAUUUCAACAACAGAAGCACUGAACCAAAACGCUAAAAUUCCUCCUAACCUACCUUCCUGUACAUCUUGUUAUUUUAACUCUCCUACAUGCUAUCGCUCUGCAGUGACUCUUUCCCCAGUCCCAAACAAAACGCCUCAAUUCAGACAGCUCUGGGGUUUUUUAAACUUAGAUUCAUGUAAGCAUGUUUCAAGAAUUCAUACACAUUAUACCGUAUUAAAAUAAUUUUUUCUUGAAUGAUUUUAAAGUUUUAAUAGCAUCUCAAAUUCCUCUUGAGCUUAACUCAAAGGGUAAGUACUCCUGGAAGUUUUGGACAGUAAGCCCCCUCAGUCCUAAAAAUUAGAGCCACUACUCAUUUCACCAAAUUUAGCUGAAAACAGCAUGACUGAUUAAUUGACAUGUGUCCAUGAUUUUUUGAAACACUGGUAGUCCGUGCAUCACCGUCUGAGAAGCAUACAUGGAGGAAGAACAGUCACUUUCCACCAAAAGAACAGGAGCUGUAAGGACUUCUGCUGAAUUUUUGAGAUUGCUAGGCAAGAAGAUUGGAACAACGAAGUAAGAAUUGAAGCAUUAAUUUGCUAUUUUCAAAAUAAAGGCAAUCUUUUUGAAAAGGUAAAGGUGCUCUUAA